AGAGAGCCUCGGCUAGCUGGGAUUCUGUCCCUGACCGUCUUCACAGUCCAGGUGAUCUUGACUACUGCUUUACAGAGAAUUGGAUCUGAGGUGUGGAAACAGGAAGAGAACUAGAACUGGAAGUAAAGCAUUGAAGAUGUGACUGAAUUGCUGCAAUCUCAUGAUCAAAUUUGAAUGGAUGAGGAGUUGCUUUUUAGGGAUGAGCAAAGAAAGUGGUUUCUCGAGAUGGAAUCUACUGGUUGCUCCUUGAGGGCAGGACAGUUCUUAUGGCUUUAUCCGUUGCGUAAGCACAGAGAGGUCUGCGAGGUCAAAACUAUUGUCAUGAUAGCAAGAUGCCUGUCUUUUUCAUUUAUUCUCACGGUGUGCAGAGGCUACAUGAUGUGUGAUGACAUCCUCAUUGAUGUUAAUGAAUGGUGCUAUACUUGAAUUUUCUAAGGUGUCAUUAGGUAGGUUUAGGUAUGCAUACUUGUUUUUAGAAAUUAUUUUUUUCCUUUUUCCCAUUUUUAGAAAUCAACUCAUUUUUUAGGUUAUGCCUUCAGUAAUCUUUGCAACCUCAAUAUUGUGUAAUGGUUACUUUAAAAUACUGUAGUUUUCUUUGUGCCUAAGUAUAAACAUAAGUACAUUUUGUUGUUUUGUUUGCAAUAGUGG
rnacentral:lncRNA from 1 species